AGAGGGUUUCACCUUUUUUUUGCUUUGACGGUGAAUGAGACACCUUCUGUAUUUUUGUUUUUUGAACUUUGGGUGAAUCGUCCACAGAAUCAUCAUCAUCUGCCAUCAAGCUUUUCCCCUUUCGCUUGCGUUGUUUGUCGGCUUCAAUUUCAACACUGGUUGCAUCAACCUCCUGCAAGUGCUUUGUUCGAGUUUCAACUCGUAUUUGUCUCGGCGAUGCNN
rnacentral:lncRNA from 1 species